ACCUCGGAUCAGGUAGGGAUACCCGCUGAACUUAAGCAUAUCAAUAAGCGGAGGAAAAGAAACCAACAGGGAUUGCCCCAGUAACGGCGAGUGAAGCGGCAAGAGCUCAAAUUUGAAAGCUGGCUCCUUCGGGGUCCGCAUUGUAAUUUGCAGAGGAUGCUUCGGGAGCGGUCCCCAUCUAAGUUCCCUGGAACGGGACGUCAUAGAGGGUGAAAAUCCCGUAUGGGAUGGGGUGUCCGCGCCCGUGUGAAGCUCCUUCGACGAGUCGAGUUGUUUGGGAAUGCAGCUCUAAAUGGGUGGUAAAUUUCAUCUAAAGCUAAAUAUUGGCCGGAGACCGAUAGCGCACAAGUAGAGUGAUCGAAAGAUGAAAAGCACUUUGAAAAGAGAGUUAAAAAGCACGUGAAAUUGUUGAAAGGGAAGCGCUUGCGACCAGACUCGCUCGCGGGGUUCAGCCGGCAUUCGUGCCGGUGUACUUCCCCGCGGGCGGGCCAACGUCGGUUUGGGCGGUCGGUCAAAGGCCCUCGGAAGGUAACGCCCCCAGGGGCGUCUUAUAGCCGAGGGUGCAAUGCGACCUGCCUNGAC
rnacentral:rRNA from 1 species